rnacentral:lncRNA from 1 species
GGAUUUAAUUAGGGAACUCUACAGUUUUUUUAUUAUUUUAUUUUUUCAUUUUAAUUCUUUUUUAGUUUAUCUUAGUUUAUACAUUUAAGUUAGCAUUAAAAUAUCAGUUAGUUAGUAAGUGGUCUGGUGGAGGGAAGUGGCUUCUAAAUCUUUAGUGUAGUGGGUUCAAUACUCCUAGGCAUAGUUUUUCUUUCUUUUAAUAUUUUCUUUUAUAUUUAUGCUUUAUUAUUCAUAUUUCUUUUUUUUAUUUAUUGUUUAAUAAUAUGAUUUGUUUUUUUCUUUUAAUUGCAUCAUGCAUUCGAAACCAUUUUUAAAAUUAUAAAAAUCAUAUUUUUCUCGAUUUAAUAUUGAGCCCUUUUUCACACCCUUGUAAGUCGAUUGCUUUUUUAAGCAUCGCCGUCAACCUCACAUAGCUUACUCUUGGGCUUUCUUACAAUGAGCCGGUUCUCUU